CCACACCAAUAAAUGAAAUAUGAAAACAACAAACAACUAGGGUCCUCUAAAUCUUUUCGAUAGUCUUUGGUUUUAUAAAUAGUUUUUCGUUUCUUGUCGUGCAUAAAUACCAUUGCAAACGAAACGAAACUUUAACAAACGAGACCAAAUAUUCAAACCUUUACUUCCAAACCACUAAAUGUAACAUCCAAUUGUAAUAAAAUCACAAAAUCUAAUAACCAAUUAGAGCAGACUUAAUUUCUUUUUAUUGUCAAGUAUUAUAUUGUUACAUAUUAUUACGUAACGUCCAAUUUUCUACGACAGAUAUAAACAUCUGUCAUUUUUUUAUAAAUUGACUUUAUUCAUCAAGCUAAUCCCCAACAGAUUCAAUGCAUUUUUGCCAAAAAAAUACAAUCUAACGUAGAUAAAGAUACUGCGAGAAAACGCUUAGUAAGGAGGUAACACAUCAUUUUAAUAAAUAAAAUGCGAUAUAAAUUAUAUGUAAAUCAACCAUAUACGUAUAUAAUAAAUAUUAGAUGUAGAAAUUAAUUCCGUAUCUUUACGUUCACGAAUUUGUAAUUCUAGUUUAAGUAGAAAUUUAAAGCGAAUAAUGUUUUAUUUUUAGGUUAAAAAAGAACAUCAAGCAUUUUUUGUAAUUUAAGAUAUCUCUGUAGGCAUUGCAAAGGCGACUACAGUAAUCGGUGUCUAUCAUCUCAUACUUCAAUAUUGACAUUGAUACCAACAUAGGAUAUCGCGAAUUUUUAUCUUAUCAGUCAAAUUUCGUUAAUUUUGUUGUCAUAAAAUGUAAUUUUAUGUAAUCUGUGGAACGUAUCGUAGAAUACAAAGCGUCUCGUUUCGAUCAAUUCCUUUGAUUUCAGAUAUCUUUAAAAUGAUUAAUCGAGGUUGACAAAGGUAAUGCUUCGCCAACAGUAAUCUUCUUUAAUUACUUUUAGGCCUGAAUUGUUUUCUCGUGGUAAACAAAACAUUUGUCACGUGCCUCGAGUUAUUUGGAGUCCAACUGAAUUUUAACGAUCAAAGUUAUAUUCAUUGAUAAUACAUAAUGAUAUUUAUAUAUGACUUUUCACGUAGAAUUGUUAUGAAAUUACAAAUUAAGUUUAUGUUAAGAAAUACGCAAUCAGAAUGUCUGAAACAAUGAGCUUUUAAAUGAUUUUUUAAACAUCGUUUCAUAGUUUCCUAUACAAACAUGAUGCUGUUUUUAUAGAAAGUAGUAUAUAUUUAUAGAAUUUCAUAUAAAAUUUCCUUAAAAGGAAAUUAAGUUAUCAAAUUAUGAAAGAUAAUGAUUUUGAGACGUCGAAUACAAAUUAUUUCAGAUUUCGCUCUCAUCGCUUCGAGAUUUCAACGUUUUCCUUUUGCUACAUAUUCUUGGCGAUAUUAAAAUAUUGAAAAAUAGAGAAAUUAAUUCUUUCAAAACUUGAUAUAUUUGUUUAAUUCUUUGCCUUUUUAUAUUUCAGAAUUGUGUAGUUACAGGGAAAUUUUUACAAAUGUUUGAAUAGCUUUCGUAACGUUUAAGAAAUUAAUAUUAAAUAAAUUAAUUCGUAUUUAUAUUUUCUUUUUAAUAUUGGCCCCUGUAUUAAUAAAAUUAACAACGGACUCUCUCUUUAGUACACAAAUAAAUAAGUAAAUAAAUAAAUAGGUACAACAAAAUAAAUGAAUGACUAUAAAGCAUUCAAUAUCUUUUUAGGGUAUUUCUCAUCUAUUUUUAUUACGUAAUGGUACGAUUGUUAUAACGGUUAAUGAUGAAGAAAAGUUAGAUUAUUUUAUCACACUUAUAUUUUCACACAUUUUUUAAGAACUUUUAACAUUAAUAAAAUAUAUUCUAAUAUUUACAACUUUUUCUUGCAUUUGUUACAAUCAUUUAAGAAUUAUGUAAACACAUAUAUCUACAUUUGUGUUUCUACACCUUUUCCAUGCAUUCGUUAAAAACUUAUGAAAUAUAUAAAUUUUCAAAUUUAUACAACGAUCUUAUACAAUUGUCAUUUUAUGAGAUUUAAAAAAAAUGAAUGGAGCGGAAUGAAAUAAAUAGAAUUAAAAACGAAUGUCAAAAUUUGGCAAAUAAUGCAUCGUAUAAAAUGAUAAGAAAUUGCUCGUGGAAUUGCUAUACAUAUAUUACGCAUAAGUUGCCCGAGUGUCUCACAAUCAGUUCUAGCACGAUCUCGAGUAAUGCCUUGGUCGUUGCUUGCACAAUGGACCGUACGAGUGAUUCCAUACUUAGAUAACAUACAACUGGCACUGGCAUUUACAGUUAAGCGAAUUAUUGUCAGUGAUUUCAAACGAGUCCGAGCGAGAUGAAAUGCUUGAGUUGUUAUCACAUUUUGUGUCUUUUAUUGAGUCGUGCUAGAAAAUCCAAAGCUUACUGUUAAAUAAUUUUUUGGGUUGGAAUGACGUAAGUUUUCACGGCAGCAAUCAAGUACCUACGCCAAACUUAGACGCUCUCGCUUACCACGGAGUAAUACUUCAACGGCAUUACGUUUUGCCGAUAUGUACUCCAUCAAGGACAGCUUUCCUUACCGGACGUUAUCCUAUUCGAACAGGUAUGCAAGGCUAUCCGCUGAAGGCAGGCGAGCCUCGCGCAAUACCUUUAAACAAUACUCUUCUCCCGGAAUAUCUACGAAAAUUGGGAUACACUAGUCAUCUCGUAGGAAAGUGGCACGUUGGUUAUUACAGUGACUAUCACACGCCAGCGUAUCGUGGCUUCGAUACCUUUUUCGGCUACUAUAAUGGUUAUAUUACAUUUUUUAAUCACACCAUUGUUCAAAAUAAUUACACCGGUCACGAUUUGCAUUACGACGUGCCUGGGAGACUGUCCGCGGAAUACGAUUAUCAAUACAUAACCGAUCUUAUCACCGAUAAGGCUGAAAACAUAAUCGCGAACCAUGAUCGUACACAACCACUUUAUCUCCAAUUGGCACACGCCGCUGCCCAUUCCACUGACUCCGAAGAUAUAAUGGAAGUUCGCGAUGAGAAGGAAAUGAAUGCUACCUUAGGCUACAUAGAAGACUUUGAUAGAAGGAAGCUUGCAGGUGUGGUUACCGCUUUGGACGAAUCUGUCGGUAGAGUAGUGAAGGCGUUAAAAGAAGCGGAGAUGUUGGAAAAUUCGAUUAUUGUCUUCAUGUCUGACAAUGGUGCACCAACUGUGGGUUUUUUGCAGAACUACGGAUCGAAUUAUCCUCUUCGAGGGAUGAAGCAUGCACUUUUCGAUGGUGGUAUCCGUGGCGUGGCGUGCAUCUAUUCGCCAUUGAUAAAAAGCGUCUCCAGAAUUUCUGAUAGUUUGAUGCACAUUACCGAUUGGUUACCGACAUUUUACUCGGCUGCGGGUGGCAAUCUAGAGGAUCUAGGAGAAACUCUCGAUGGUGUUGAUCAAUGGGAUACCAUUGUUUCUGCGAAGGGAACUGGCCGCACUGGUGUAUUGUUAAACAUAGAUGAAGUUGCAAACGUUUCGUCGGCUUUAAUAGGAAGAUAUAAAUUACUCAAUGGAGCUGUUUCUGAAUACCCUAAUUUCUAUGGCGACAACGGUAUAAACGAAUUGUACCCACAGUACAAUACAUCCAGUGUUUUGCGAUCAUUAGCAGGCGCUGCAAUUGCAAAAAUAUCGAAGUCUACGUUAAAAGAUGAGGACGUAAUUAAGCUUCGAGAAAAGGCAACAGUAACUUGUAAGAACUUCACGACGUAUUCUACAUGUUUACAUACAUGUUUGUUCGACGUUUAUAACGAUCCUUGCGAGACAACAGAUUUGUCUCUCGAAUAUCCAAAGAUUGUGGACGAAUUAAAUAACUACAUAAAAGAAUACAGUAAAGUUUUAAUGCCUCAAACAAAUGGACCAGUGGAUCCAGCCUCCUUACCCCAACACUUCAACGGAACAUGGAUGCCUUGGAUAGUUAAAUAUCCUUUACAUCUAAUUUCUUAGUACCUCGUGAUACAAAAUCAAUCUACAAAUUAUUCAUACUUAAAUGACUGAAAUUUUAUAUUUUUUACUGAUAUUUUAAUUGUCAUCUCAACAACCUUUAUCCGAAAAGAAAUAAUUUUAUGUUACUAUACACACAGACUAAAAAAUCUGUAUAAAACUUAUUUUUAUAUAAUUAUACUGCUAUAGUAUACAUGCUAUUGUGUAUAUAAUAUAGUACAGUAUAUUAUACCACGUACAAAUACAAAGAGGAUAAAAAGGAAAUGUAAAAUACUUUCUGUCAAAUAAUCCUAAUUUUUGAGAUAAUAAAAUUCGAUACGUGUUUUGUAACAUAUCUAUUAAAAAUUAAAACGCAUAGUGAAGACACGUUUGAUACGCAUUUUUACAUGCGUUACAUUUUUACAAUUACCUCUUGCUUAGAUGUACCACACGUCUUGGGACACCCUGUAUAAAAUUAUAAACCACGGUGGCGAUUAUGCAGAUGAGAUGCUGUCGUUCCUGAGUACGUUGAUAUCAAUUUAAUUGCACGUUAUAUACCCGCGUGGAUGUACAACUUCCACAAUUUCUGAAAUUCAAUUUCACCGACAGAAUAGUGAUACUGGCAUUACGAAUAUAUUAUUAUAAUAAAUACAUGAUAAACGUAUCGAAAAGGUAUGUAAAGGUAUGCAAACUGAAAUAACGAUAUUAUUGUAAAUAAUAUAAUAAUAAUAUAAUAAUAUACAUUAUGUAUAUUUUACAUAAAAUACA